GUCCUUGUCGAUUAGUGGUUAGAUCAUCACGUUGUGGAAGUACAAUACCGUGAAGACGGAGGCUCGAAUCCUCCCUGGGACA
rnacentral:tRNA from 1 species